rnacentral:rRNA from 1 species
CCAUAGGAGGGGUCCGCGUCCGAUUAGCUAGUUGGUAGGGUAAUGGCCUACCAAGGCGACGAUCGGUAGCCGGCCUGAGAGGGUGAUCGGCCACACUGGAACUGAGACACGGUCCAGACUCCUACGGGAGGCAGCAGUGGGGAAUUUUGCGCAAUGGGCUAACGCCUGACGCAGCAACGCCGCGUGGAGGAUGAAGGUCUUUGGAUUGUAAACUCCUGUCAGCAGGGAAAAAGCGAAUCGGCCGAAUACGCCGGUGAGUUGAUUGUACCUGCAGAGGAAGCCCCGGCUAACUCUGUGCCAGCAGCCGCGGUAAUACAGAGGGGGCAAGCGUUAUUCGGAAUUAUUGGGCGUAAAGGGCGCGUAGGCGGCUUGGCAAGUGGAAGGUGAAAUCCCUCGGCUUAACCGAGGAACUGCCCUCCAAACUGCUUCGCUUGAGACCGGGAGAGGUGAGUGGAAUUCCCAGUGUAGCGGUGAAAUGCGUAGAUAUUGGGAGGAACACCAGUGGCGAAGGCGGCUCACUGGACCGGUACUGACGCUGAUGCGCGAAAGCGUGGGGAGCAAACGGGAUUAGAUACCCCGGUAGUCCACGCCGUAAACGAUGAGUGCUUGGUGUAGCGGGUAUCGACCCCUGCUGUGCCGAAGUCAACACAUUAAGCACUCCGCCUGGGGAGUACGGUCGCAAGGCUGAAACUCAAAGGAAU